GACGAACCGAGCGAACGUUGUUCGGAAUAACUGGGCUUAAAGGGCGCGUAGGCGGGCCGCCAAGUUCGAGGUGAAAUCCUCCGGCUCAACCGGAGAACUGCCUCGAAUACUGGAGGUCUCGAGGGUGGUAGGGGCACGCGGAAUUCCUGGUGUAGCGGUGAAAUGCGUAGAUAUCUGGAGGAACACCGGUGGCGAAGGCGGCAUCCUGGACCAAUAUUGACGCUGAGGCGCGAAAGCGUGGGGAGCAAACAGG
rnacentral:rRNA from 1 species